UGGGGAAUAUUGGACAAUGGGGGCAACCCUGAUCCAGCCAUGCCGCGUGUGUGAAGAAGGCCCUCGGGUUGUAAAGCACUUUCAGCGAGGAAGAACGCCUAGUGGUUAAUACCCAUUAGGAAAGACAUCACUCGCA
rnacentral:rRNA from 1 species